UCCUCCUCCGAGUAGCCAGCCCCGUGGAUGAUGCGCAUCUGCUUAAUGAAUGUGCUCUUCCCACUCUCACCUGUGCCUAGCAGGAGCGCUUGAGCUC